AUUGAACGCUGGCGGCAUGCUUUACACAUGCAAGUCGAACGGUAACAGGCCUUCGGGUGCUGACGAGUGGCGAACGGGUGAGUAAUGCAUCGGAACGUGCCCAGAGGUGGGGGAUAACGCAGCGAAAGCUGUGCUAAUACCGCAUGUGAUCUGAGGAUGAAAGCGGGGGACCAGGCAGCAAUGUUUGGCCUCGCGCCUUUGGAGCGGCCGAUGUCAGAUUAGGUAGUUGGUGGGGUAAAGGCCUACCAAGCCGACGAUCUGUAGCUGGUCUGAGAGGACGAGCAGCCAGACUGUAACUAAGACACGGGAGCGACUCCUACGGGAGGCAGCAGUGGGGAAUAUGGGACAAUGGGCGCAGGGCUGAUCCAGCCAUACAGCGUGGGUGAAGAAGGCCUUCGUGUUGUAAAGCCCUUUUGUUGGGAAAGAAAAGAAGAAGGUUAAUACCCCGCUGUUCUGACGGUACCCAAAGAAUAAGCACCGGCUAACUUCGUG
rnacentral:rRNA from 1 species